rnacentral:misc_RNA from 1 species
AGGCAGCCUCCUGAAGAAGUUCAGUGGCACAGAAGGAAGCUUAUGGCGGAAUCUGGGGUGUCUCAAAACAUAAAAUCCAGUGAGCAGGGCCACAACUUGGAAUGGUGUGACAUAUAAGACAAUGGCAGCAACAAGACAGAACAGAACAAACAGGGCAGUGGCUCUUGGAUCUCUCCAGCUAAGCAAAGACUGCAACCUCUCUCCUUGAGUCGCCAAAUCGCCCACAACAGUCUGAAUCCUCCCAGCAAUGCUCCUGAGUCGGUCGUACCUCAUCCUCA